rnacentral:rRNA from 1 species
UACGGAGGGUGCAAGCAUUAAUCGGAUUUAUUGGGCGUAAAGGGCGCGUAGGCGGGGAAGUAAGUCAGAUGUGAAAGCCCAGGGCUCAACCCUGGAACAGCAUUUGAAACUGCUUUUCUAGAGGGUAGACGGAGAAAACAGAAUUCCACGUGUAGCGGUGAAAUGCGUAGAUAUGUGGAGGAAUACCGGUGGCGAAGGCGGUUUUCUAGUUUAUUCCUGACGCUAAUGCGCGAAAGCAAGGGGAGCAAACAGG